rnacentral:lncRNA from 1 species
CAAAUUUUGGUACCCUGUGAUGCUAAUACGGGCUUCCUUCUCCUUUAAGGUUUUGCAGAAUCAAGCUUGAGUGCUGGUGCCAUUGCUGGAAUUGUGAUUGGCUCCAUUGCUGGGAUGCUGCUAAUUCUGGCUGUUCUGGUUGUGCUGAUCUGGAUAAUCAGCCUUCGGAGAGCAAACAACAAGAAAAUCCCCCCAACACCUCCGGAGAAUCGGCAGCACUACCUGUCACGCCAGUUCCCAAAUGGUAACAAGAUGGAGCCAAGUGAUUCUUCCUGGGGCAAUCCCCGUUGGUCCUCAGGAGGAUCAGAUAUCUAUGCCAUCACCUACGAGGAGCACUUGCGCAAAUAUGGCGGUCCGUCCACUUUGCCCAUCAGCACCUUGGACAGCAGCUUCCCUUCCCCAGGUGUAAGACCUCAAACCAGAAAUGUGCGCAGUGCUACCCAAGUCUGAGAUUGCGGAGAUCCCUCAUGAGAUUUGGACACGAGAGCAAGUUGUGAGGCAAAUGCAGCCAUCAGCGUGGGUCCUGCACAUCUGAAAACAGAGUCAGGCCUUUAUUCCUGCGCCUUAUUCGGUAGGAGCCUGAACGUGGAUGGGAUUCUAGCUUCUGAAGCUAGAUUUACUGGCAUAAUGUUGGCCACUGAAUGUGCAGUGGAGGACCAAGGUUUCCAGGAAAACAACCUAGCCUAGCCAGAGACUUCUUUGCAGUGGGGGUUAGGAUAAGGUGACCCAGGUGUCCAGGAGGAUGGAUUUUGUGUAUAUUGAAUACAGUAUUUUUAUUUUGAAAUCUUGAGCCUUCCGCUAUGGCUACUCUAGGGAAAUUUUGGAAAGGAUUUCUCCGCAGAGCAACCUGAAUUGGCAUGAAACAAAAGGCCAUACAGACAGCAAGAUGAAGAACAGAUGGCACAUUACAAAGAACUCCAAGCCCAUCCUUAUCGCAGAGAGUGUUGUAAAGGCAUCCUUAUAGCAGACAGUGUUGAACAGGGAUGCUAUGGAAAAAGUGUUUGAACUGGAAAAGGUAAGACUGUUUCUUUAAGGGGGAUAGGUCUUCAAGUUGCAAGAUUAAAAUGUGUCUUUUUCAAGACACUUCCAUCAUGCAAUGCUUCUUCUCUCCUAAAGUCUCUAAGCCAUGGCAAGUGCCAAAGUUUCUUCUACCAUGGAAAACACCCAUUCAGAUCCAUGUCUGCAAAGUGAGUCUUGAAAUCUUAAUCAGACACUUCUGCU